rnacentral:rRNA from 1 species
GACGAACGCUGGCGGCGUGCUUAACACAUGCAAGUCGAACGGAAAGGCCCUGCUUUUGUGGGGUGCUCGAGUGGCGAACGCGUGAGUAACACGUGAGUAACCUGCCCUUGACUUUGGGAUAACUUCAGGAAACUGGGGCUAAUACCGGAUAGGAUCUCCUGCUGCAUGGUGGGCGUUGGAAAGUUUCGGCGGUUGGGGAUGGACUCGCGGCUUAUCAGCUUGUUGGUGGGGUAGUGGCUUACCAAGGCUUUGACGGGUAGCCGGCCUGAGAGGGUGACCGGCCACAUUGGGACUGAGAUACGGACCAGACUCGUACGGGAGGCAGCAGGGGGGAAUAUGGCACAAUGGGCGGAAGCGUGAGGCAGCAACGCCGCGUGCGGGAUGACGGCCUUCGGGGUGUAAACCGCUGUCGCCUGUGACGAAGCGUGAGUGACGGUAAUGGGUAAAGAAGCACCGGCUAACUACGUG